rnacentral:tRNA from 1 species
AAAUAAGAAGCAAAAUAAUGCAUUUAAUUUCGACUUAAAAGAAUGAGUUUAAUAAACUCCUUAUUUU